GUUUCUUUUCUGCUCUGUCUUUUUCAAAGCUUUGCUGCCGUUUUUCGCCUUGUUGCAGGUCUCUUGGUCAAGGGCUCUAUUGCUUGACUUCCUAGGUGAGCGCUUUUUGGCUGGCCACCGCCUCUCUCUUGGUUUUAAUGCAUCUCAUCUGUGGAUAACCUAUAUCUUCGGUGCUGCCUGCCGUUCGACACCGCAUCGUGCGCGUGCUCGGGACCUGACGGAUCUGUUUGUGCGGUGUCUCUCGCGCCUCUGUGUGGGGCUGCUAGGCUGAAUCUGUUCGUGAGUGCUGUUUUCGAUUUCCUGGAGUCUGUUCGUCAUCACAAGGGAUCAGUUCGCGGCGAUCACAGAAGUCAAGCAACGUUCACCGGAGUCGCGACUUAGAUGGGAGACCGUUUGGAAAUUUUCGAAAAAUGGCAUCCGGUUUAAAUCGGAUUUAGUCGGACUGGACUCUUUCCGCCGACUUCGGAUUACGACAGAUUCAAUGGGAUGCUAUUCCUAUUAUUCAUGGAUUCACUCGGUAUAACAUGGAUUCACUUGGUAUAAAACUGACUCAUUCAGAUACAGAUUUAGAACUAAAAUGAAUUCAGAUAGAUUGAAAUUUUCCUAUCCAAAUCUUUCGUAAACUUUCACCAGGGAUAUCUAUCGUCUCAUCAAUGCGUGUUAUUUGUAUAUAUUCACACUUCAGAUUCAGUUCUCAUUUAUUAUAAUAAACGCUUAUUUUUUUACUCCAACU
rnacentral:lncRNA from 13 species